UACAGAGGUCUCAAGCGUUGUUCGGAUUCAUUGGGCGUAAAGGGUGCGUAGGCGGCGGUGCAAGUCGGGUGUGAAAUCCUAAGGCUCAACCUUGGAAAUGCACUCGAUACUGCGCCGCUCGAGCGCUGGGGAGGAGACUGGAAUUCACGGUGUAGCAGUGAAAUGCGUAGAUAUCGUGAGGAAGGCCGGUGGCGAAGGCGAGUCUCUGGACAGUUGCUGACGCUGAGGCACGAAGGCCAGGGGAGCAAACGGG
rnacentral:rRNA from 1 species